GAACACCUUCAAGUCAAUGGUCAUAACUUAUUGCCUUUCCAUGGUUGUAUUUUUAAACGAUAGCAAAUUUUAUAUGAGUAGUAUCAUAUUGAAGUAUAUACAAUGUAUUAUGGUUCACAUUUUAAUUCUGUUAAAAAUUUGAGAAAAAUUAAACAACUACUUUUGAGAUAUUUUGACCUCAAAUUGUAGCUUUUUCUUUUGUAAGUGAUAACAGUUUUGUCUUCUUAGGCUUGUAAAGCUAUUUUUUGUGAUUUUCUAUUGGUUCUUUAAGUGUAAUUGUUUUGAUUUUUUUGGCGCUAUCUAUUUUCUCUUUUAUUCAUGUUCUUGACUCCAAAGCUUUUAACUGAAUAGACAUGAAAAUAUAUGUCUCCUUAAAAUAAAAAGUCAAUAAAGUGCAUGAACCCUGACUACAUAGUAUUUUUUACAC
rnacentral:lncRNA from 1 species